GCACACCUUUUGAACAAGAUUGGAUCAUCCCACAGAAAUGACUUGACAUCAUGUAGGAAUUUCUUCUUUUGAUGAAAGGUCAAGUUAGGUGGCAAUCUUCCAGACACUAAAUAGUUAACAAAAUCAGCAUACCAUGGGAUCUUUGUUGAUACAGCUAGCAAGAUCUCGUCGGGGAACGUUUCUCGAAUUUGACUGUCAUCCACCACCUUUUCAUUCUCCAAUCGUGAGA
rnacentral:lncRNA from 1 species